rnacentral:misc_RNA from 1 species
UAAUAAGUGUUAUUUAUGGCACCUUUUUUUAAAUCCAUAUCCACCUUGUGUGCAAUGUCAGUCGAUCUUCUUCAUGGAGAUCGACCAAACAUCAACCUUUAUCUUUUAACUCUUUGUCUGAAAAAAUAUUAUGAAUAAACAAUUCAAAAUA